rnacentral:rRNA from 1 species
UAUCUGUUAGGACCCGAAAGAUGGUGAACUAUGCCUGAGAAGGGCAAACUCAGGGGAAACUCUGAUGGAGGCUCGUAGCGAUACUGACGUGCAAAUCGUUCGUCAUACUUGGGUAUAGGGGCGAAAGACUAAUCGAACCAUCUAGUAGCUGGUUCCCUCCGAAGUUUCCCUCAGGAUAGCUGGAGCUCGUGAUUCAGUUUUGUCAGGUAAAGCGAAUGAUUAGAGGCUUUGGGGCUGAAACAGCCUUAACCUAUUCUCAAACUUUAAAUGGGUGAGCACGCGGGGUUGCUUUUGUGAAGCUCGCGGUUGAAUAGUGUUGGUUAUUAGUGGGCCCCCUCUGGUAAGCAGAGCUGGCGAUGCGGGAUGAUCCGAACGAGCGGUUAAAGUGCCUUUGUGUUGGCUCAUGUAGAUCCCAUAAAAGGUGUUGGUUCAUUUAGACAGCAGGACGGUGGCCAUGGAAGUCGGAAUCCGCUAAGGAGUGUGUAACAACCCACCUGCCGAAUGAAGUAGCCCUGAAAAUGGAUGGCGCUGGAGCCAGCGGACUUAUACCGUUCCAAUUUUCUUGAUGUGUUGGAGAGAAAAUUGAGUAGGAGGGCGUGGGGGUGUUGAUGCAUGCUGUGAUGUGAGUGCAGCAGAAAGCUCCCCUAGUGCAGAUCUUGGUGGAAGUAGCAAGUAUUCAAAAGCGAUCUUUGAAGACUGAAGUGGAGAAAGGUUUCAUGUGAACAUCAAUUGGACAUGAGUGAGUCGGUCCUAAGAGAUAGCCAAGUGGCGUUCUUAGUUCCCCCCUUGUAAGAGUGGGGGUGUAAUCGAAAGGGAAUGAGGUUAAUAUUCCUGAACGAGGACAGUGUAUGCAUAAUUUGGCGACAGUUGUGGUUGUUGGGAGACGUUGGCGGGCAUCCCGGGAAGAGUUGUCUUUUCUUUUUGACUGUGAGUGGUGUCGGCCUGGAAUCGAUUUGUUCGGCGAUAGGGCGGUGUUCGCAGGCAGAGCGCUGUCAGGGUAGAUGGCGUCCGGUGCAUGUUUGUCUCUCCUUGAAAAUCCCAAGGAUCGUAAAUGGUAUAAUCACUCCUCUCCGUACUGUAAACCGCAACAGGUCUCCAAGGUGAGAAGCCUCUAGUUGAUAGAAGAAUGUAGAUAAGGGAAGUCGGCAAAGUAGAUCCGUAACUUCGGGAAAAGGAUUGGCUCUGAGGGUUUGGUGUGUUGUGUUGUGUUGGUGGGGGCGGUUGCCU